rnacentral:rRNA from 1 species
AUGCAAGUCGAGCGAACAGACGAGGAGCUUGCUCCUCUGACGUUAGCGGCGGACGGGUGAGUAACACGUGGAUAACCUACCUAUAGGACUGGGAUAACUUCGGGAAACCGGAGCUAAUACCGGAUAAUAUAUUGAACCGCAUGGUUCAAUAGUGAAAGACGGUUUUGCUGUCACUUAUAGAUGGAUCCGCGCCGCAUUAGCUAGUUGGUAAGGUAACGGCUUACCAAGGCAACGAUGCGUAGCCGACCUGAGAGGGUGAUCGGCCACACUGGAACUGAGACA